GCGGUCCACCACCAAACUUCCUCUCUCAGACAUAGCUGACACAGAACUCUUGGAAAAAGUCAAAAAGGUAUCUGAAAGUACAACCCUUGAGGACCUUGAGAAGUCAAAUGCACCUUUGCUUGACUACUUGGCCAAUGCAGGAUGUCUGAGGCCUAUGCGGUCGAUAAGAGACAGGGAUCUGCUGGUACAAGACAUUGUCAUGUUUCAGGUCAUCCACAGGGUUCAAAGUCCAUUUCAAAGGUUUUCAGUGUUAGUUGUUGUACAGUCAGAUCAAUCUCAAAAGGAGUCAUAAUUUUAACCAUUGAACAACAAGGUGUAAGACUAGCUUCACAAAAUCUAAUGUGUUUGUAUUAAACCAAGGGACAAUUUGACAGUGUACAAUUGAAUUAUGGAUUCCACAAUUAUUCCAUGUUGUUUGUACAGAUUCUGUGAAGGAGUGAAAACUCUUUGGGUUCAGGACCAAAUACGACGACAUCCAGGCAGCUUUCGACCAUUGUUCUGCUAUGAGCUGUGGAUGAUCUUUUCAGCAUUCGUCUCUCUCCAGAAGGGAGCAACAAGAGAGCUGCUGAGGAGAUGGUCGUUACUUUCUGGAGGGACUAUCUCCAAAAUGCAGAAGAAGAAGGGCCAUCCAAACUAGAGAAGAUAUUGGCCUUCACAACUUGAGCAUCUGACCAGUUCAUUCACAAAGGAGAUGAUGGCUUCUCUACAUCAAUGUUCCCUCUUGCCAACACAUGUGUUAACUGCAUCAACUUGCCACUACAUGUGUCUUACCAACUGUUCAAGGAGAAGUUUGACAUUGCAUUAGGAAACCCAUAUGGAUUUGGCAG